UUUAUCCAGGAAUAAAAUGCUCUCCGAGCGUCACGCCGGCGGGGCUGCAACCAGUCAGCUCGGUCAACGCCGACGCGGUUUCGGCUGCACGGCGGAGGGUGGCGGAUGAUGCUGGCGAGCACGGCGACAGCUUCAGGUCCCAUCUCUUCCCCGUCCUUGCUUUACGUUCGCCUCGUUGACGGUCGCGACCAGAUCCCCUCCGCAGUCCAGAUCAUCUCAUCAUCGAUUUGGGGAUAGAAUCAGGAUACGAGCAGCAAAGAUGAUACUACAACAGACCUUGGAUCAGUCCAGAAUGACUGAUGGUCCAGAGUGGGGAUUACCAGUGACGCGUUCAUGAUCUUUGCCACUGCAACCAUAUCACUGAUCUGUAAGAAUAGUUCCAGGUUAGCUGAAAGGCACCGACAAAGAGCAAGGUUUAGCACAAGCAUAUACAUACCCCCAUUCUCAUCUGGUUUAGCCCGCCGUUUGCGUCGACAAUCAGAUAGCCGACAGUCGCAUUGUCAGUCCCUGCAAUGCGCGAGAAUAUUAGCCGGAGCCGGAGCUGAAGCUGGAAGAAAAAUGGGGUGAAGGGUAGAACAAGAAACUUACUGCGCUGAUUCUUUGGGCGUACAAUGCACUGGCUGUAACCCCCACUAUCUGGCUUCAUCCAUAUCUCCGGUAUCUGCCCAGGUUUAAGAGGAAACUUCAGUAUGGUCAAAGUGAGCACAGCA